AACGAACGCUGGCGGCAGGCCUAACACAUGCAAGUCGAGCGGACAUCUUCGGAUGUUAGCGGCGGACGGGUGAGUAACGCGUGGGAACGUGCCCUUUGCUUCGGAAUAGCCUCGGGAAACUGGGAGUAAUACCGGAUGUACCCUUUGGGGGAAAGAUUUAUCGGCAAAGGAUCGGCCCGCGUUGGAUUAGGUAGUUGGUGGGGUAAUGGCCUACCAAGCCGACGAUCCAUAGCUGGUUUGAGAGGAUGAUCAGCCACACUGGGACUGAGACACGGCCCAGACUCCUACGGGAGGCAGCAGUGGGGAAUCUUAGACAAUGGGGGAAACCCUGAUCUAGCCAUGCCGCGUGAGCGAUGAAGGCCUUAGGGUUGUAAAGCUCUUUCACCGGGGAAGAUAAUGACGGUACCCGGAGAAGAAGCCCCGGCUAACUCCGU
rnacentral:rRNA from 1 species